UAUUGCACAAUGGGCGCAAGCCUGAUGCAGCCAUGCCGCGUGUAUGAAGAAGGCCUUCGGGUUGUAAAGUACUUUCAGCGGGGAGGAANGGAGUAAAGUUAAUACCUUUACACAUUGACGUUACCCGCAGAAGAAGCACCGGCUAACUACGUGCCAGCAGCCGCGGUAAUACGGAGGGUGCAAGCGGUAAUCGGAAUUACUGAGCGUAAAGCGCGCGCAGGCGGUUUGUUAAAUCAGAUGUGAAAUCCCCGGGCUCAACCUGGGAACUGCAUCUGAUACUGGCAAGCUUGAGUCUCGUAGAGGGGGGUAGAAUUCCAGGUGUAGCGGUGAAAUGCGUAGAGAUCUGGAGGAAUACCGGUGGCGAAGGCGGCCCCCUGGACGAAGACUGACGCUCAGGUGCGAAAGCGUGGGGAGCAA
rnacentral:rRNA from 1 species